rnacentral:rRNA from 1 species
UAAUGCCGGAUGCUCCAGUUGAUCGCAUGGUCUUCUGGGAAAGCUUUCGCGGUAUGGGAUGGGGUCGCGUCCUAUCAGCUUGACGGCGGGGUAACGGCCCACCGUGGCUUCGACGGGUAGCCGGCCUGAGAGGGCGACCGGCCACAUUGGGACUGAGAUACGGCCCAGACUCCUACGGGAGGCAGCAGUGGGGAAUAUUGCACAAUGGGCGCAAGCCUGAUGCAGCGACGCCGCGUGAGGGAUGGAGGCCUUCGGGUUGUAAACCUCUUUUAUCGGGGAGCAAGCGAGAGUGAGUUUACCCGUUGAAUAAGCACCGGCUAACUACGUGCCAGCAGCCGCGGUAAUACGUAGGGUGCAAGCGUUAUCCGGAAUUAUUGGGCGUAAAGGGCUCGUAGGCGGUUCGUCGCGUCCGGUGUGAAAGUCCAUCGCUUAACGGUGGAUCCGCGCCGGGUACGGGCGGGCUUGAGUGCGGUAGGGGAGACUGGAAUUCCCGGUGUAACGGUGGAAUGUGUAGAUAUCGGAAAAA